GAACCUGCCCCAGACUCUGGGAUAAGCGCUGGAAACGGCGUCUAAUACCGGAUACGCACCAGGAAGGCAUCUUCUCUGGUGGGAAAGAUUUUUUGGUCUGGGAUGGGCUCGCGGCCUAUCAGCUUGUUGGUGAGGUAAUGGCUCACCAAGGCGUCGACGGGUAGCCGGCCUGAGAGGGUGACCGGCCACACUGGGACUGAGACACGGCCCAAACUCCUACGGGAGGCAGCAGUGGGGAAUAUUGCACAAUGGGCGGAAGCCUGAUGCAGCAACGCCGCGUGAGGGAUGACGGCCUUCGGGUUGUAAACCUCUUUUAGCAGGGAAGAAGCGAGAGUGACGGUACCUGCAGAAAAAGCGCCGGCUAACUACGUGCCAGCAGCCGCGGUAAUACGUAGGGCGCAAGCGUUAUCCGGAAUUAUUGGGCGUAAAGAGCUCGUAGGCGGUCUGUCGCGUCUGCUGUGAAAACCCGAGGCUCAACCUCGGGCCUGCAGUGGGUACGGGCAGACUAGAGUGCGGUAGGGGAGAUUGGAAUUCCUGGUGUAGCGGUGGAAUGCGCAGAUAUCANGAGGAACACCGAUGGGCGAACGCAGAUCUCUGGGCCGUAACUGACGCUGAGGAGCGAAAGGUUGGGGAGCAAACAGGCUUAGAUACCCUGGUAGCCCACCCCCGAAACGUUGGGAACUAGUUUGUGGGGGGCCUCUCCACCGUCUCCGGGGACGCACUAAGGAUUAGCUCCCCCGCCUGGGGAGUAGGGGCCGCAAGGCUUAAACUCCAAGGGAU
rnacentral:rRNA from 1 species